UUACCUAUUUAAAUCCCUACACCCGGGGGAUGGGGUGGGGUUGAACACUGAAUUAGACUUCAAUUGUUUUAUUUAAGUUUUCUGACAAGAUGGCUACUGUUUGUGUUCUCUGUGCUAGAUUUUGGAUUCUGUAGCUUUAAAUUUCCUGAAAUUGUAUGUGAUUCAGUGCACCUGUGAGUAGCCUUUAUAAUGCUACCAGGGUUAUGCCUACAGUAUCAGCUUAUUACACUAUCAAGUGAUUGCUGAUCCUUUGCUACUUGAUGUACCUGUAGGGACAAUUUAUUUGGUAUGUAUUUAUUAUUGUUUGUAUAUAUACAGGUCUGUCAUUUCAAUUAGUGUAUUGUAUUUGAAUUUAAUGUAUUUCAAUUUCUAUUAUUGUCAGCUGAUGAAGAAUCAUUAUUGAAACAGUUUAUUAUCCGGAAAAACUGUUCUAUGUUUGGCUGCAUAUUUGCAGGAUUUUGAAUGUUGAAAGGCAUUUUGCCUCCAUCUCAGUGUUCCUUGAUACUGACUGACUACGCCUUCUAUUUUUGUUCAUUGAACAUUUAUUUGACUCCUAUUAUUUGUGACUCUCAUAUAUUUUCUGUUUAUGAAUUGUGUAUAAAUACUUCGCUAACACAUUAGCAGCCGCGCGUCGCUUGGAGUUGUUCUAGAGGAGUAUAAACAGAUUCCACUACUAAUGCCUUCUGAAUUCUUUGUGCCUGCUGUUGAUCCAACCAUUUUAGGAACAUAAGAAGUUGCCUUAUACAAAGUCAGCCCAUUGGUCCAUCAAGCUCAGUAUUAUCUUGACUGAUUGGCAGUGUCUCUCCAAGGAUUCAGAUAAGAGUUUUUCCCUAGCCCUACGUCUAAGCAUCAGAGAUUGAAGCUGGGGGUUUCUGCAUUCAAACACAUGAACCAGUCAAUGAAGAAUUAUCAUUGAAACAGUUCAUUAUCCUGGAAGAACUGUUCUGUUUGCAGCUGUGCUCCGAGUACCGUACUGCUACGUUUGGAGCACCUAUCUAGGAUAUUGACUGUGGAAAGGCAUUUUGCCUCCAUCUUGGACAGUGACUUACCACGCCUACUAUUCUUGUUUAUGGAACAUUUAUUUGAUACCUAUUAAUUGUGACUCCAUGCACAUAUUAUACGUCUGUGUAUGAAUUUUUGAAACAGUAUAACGUUAUAAAGAUUUUGUUAGUAUUUAUUA